GAGAGCCGGGUGCGGGAAAUCUGCACGCCCGGUUCGCCGAGCGGGGGGUGAAAACGGAACGUCUGGUAAGCCCUACAGGCGCACCGCACGUCACCGCGUCACCUCCCGACUCUAC
rfam:Sphingomonas sanxanigenens NX02, complete genome.